rnacentral:rRNA from 1 species
CUUGGUCAUUUAGAGGAAGUAAAAGUCGUAACAAGGUUUCCGUAGGUGAACCUGCGGAAGGAUCAUUAAAGAAUCGCCCCGUUUUUUGAAAUGGGUUCUAUUCCCAAACCGUGUCUACAUACCUUUGUUGCUUUGGCAGGCCGCCGCUUCGGCGUUGGCUCCGGCUGACUGUGCCUGCCAGAGGACCCAAACUCGUUUGUUUAGUGAUGUCUGAGUACUAUAUAAUAGUUAAAACUUUCAACAACGGAUCUCUUGGUUCUGGCAUCGAUGAAGAACGCAGCGAAAUGCGAUAAGUAAUGUGAAUUGCAGAAUUCAGUGAAUCAUCGAAUCUUUGAACGCACAUUGCGCCCCUUGGUAUUCCGAGGGGCAUGCCUGUUCGAGCGUCAUUAUAACCACUCAAGCCUCGGCUUGGUCUUGGGGUUCGCGGUCUCGCGGCUCUUAAACUCAGUGGCGGUGCCGUCUGGCUCUAAGCGUAGUAAAUCUCUCGCUGUAGGGUCCCGACGGUUCCCUGCCAGAACCCCCUAAUUUUUUUACGGUUGACCUCGGAUCAGGUAGGGAUACCCGCUGAACUUAAGCAUAUCAAUAAGCGGAGGA